CUCCAAACAUUUGGAGUGAAUUGGCGCAACUUCUCUACUCCCGCGUGAAGCAAUGUUUUGUUUUGAAGAUUGCUGCGUGACUACAGCUUUAUUUACACAUAUAACCUAUAUCUCCAGAUUGUUGCUCCGAAAAUAACCCCACGCACAGGAAGCAACGAUGCACAACGCAAACCACCGCUGCAAUGGAGAUAAGAGAGCAAAUGAGAGAGAGGACCCAAGGGCGUUCCAGGUGCUCAAGGUCUGAGUGGACGCAAAGGAGAGAGAGGACCCAAGGGCGUUCCAGGUGCUCAAGGUCUGAGUGGACGCAAAGGAGAG